CUGAAUUUUGACGUAAUUUCUCCUGAUGUAGCUAGCAGGUGGCAGAGGUGUAUUUGAAAGUCGACACUACCCUGAAAGCGAUUAGAAUGUCCUCCGUCUGCUAGUCUUCUUGAUUCUUGAGUUCUGUGGAGCUCAAAUAGACAACAAAGAUUUGUGGAACUGAUUAAGUGUUAGCAUAAAUAUCUAGCCUUCAUCAUGUUGAGUCUCCUCAAUAAGUAUUACUCUAUAUUUUUAUAUUUUCAUUUUAUAAAGCAGAAAAGAAAUAUUUAUUUUAUUUUUAUGCCACCACAGUGAAUGUACUUAUGGGUUUUAUGCCACUCGUAUAUUCACACGACGCUUACUAUUUUUCAUAUUUUUAUUCUCUUUUUUUAGGAUAGUAUGAAUAUGAUUAACUAAGCAAACUAUUUUAAAUAAUUGAAAGGGAAAGGAUAACUACCAAGUUUACCUCUUGGCAAAGCAUUCGGUAUUUUUAAGUUCUUCGAACGGGACUCUCCGUUUUCUCAGUUGUCCUGGGGUUCGUUGGGUGGCGUAGUCGGUACUUCCGGCGGCGCCUCCUCUUCAUGUAUAGUUAUCUUCUCUUUCCACACCUGACUCGGUGCUACGGUCUCCUCUGGAUAAUUCUAUUUAAACUGUAUGUCUUCUGAAAUUAUCACUUGAUGAGGACAUCCCAACCAAGCAUGCUCCCUCUAAUUCCACACCAACCUCUACACCGACUACGCCGGCACCAGCCCAAGCCAUUGAUGGAGCCAUUACACGUAGCCGAGCCAAGAAGCUACAACAAGAGGUGACCGCGCUACUUUGUGAGAGUUCUAUUAAUGUUAAUGAGAAUAUUAUACUACUAAGUGUUCUACUUUGGUUGUGGUUAGGUAUACACAUGAGGAGGGAGGUGACCUGGACCGCAAGGAUUGGAACAACACGGUGCAGAACGGACCAGUUGAAAGAAGGGCAGAUCGGACCAGUGCGGUGCAAAACGGACCAGUUGAAAGAAA
rnacentral:lncRNA from 1 species